rnacentral:misc_RNA from 1 species
UGUAGGAGUGAGCCUGCUCGCGAUAGCGGUGUGUCAGUUAAAGAUGAAGUGACUGACAGGGCGCUAUCGCGAGCAGGCUCACUCCUACA